rnacentral:rRNA from 1 species
AUGGUUGCCGAAUGGACUAUUGAGAACACUCGGAUUAUCACCGAGUUGUUUGUCCAGCAAGUGAGAGCUGGAAAUAGGCCAAAUACUCACUUGACCUCCAAUGCAUAUGAUGAGAACAAAUGGGACAAACUAAGAGGUGAAUAUGGUGUAUUCAAGAAACUUAAGUUGAAGGAGACAGGAGCGGGAUGGGACACAGAGCGCAACACUGUGAAACAAGAUGCUGAGUGGUGGAAGAAGGCAAAGAUAGACAUUCCAGGUUGUUACAAGUUCAGGAAGCAUGGACUUCGCAAUGAAGAGAACUUGCGCAUCAUGUUUGAAGACAUCACAAGUGACGGUUCCGAUCAUUGGAAUCCGACUUCUGGCAUCCCCCCUACUUCUACUGCACUAAUAUCAAGUGCCAUAAAUCUUGAGCAAAUAGAAGAUGUUGAUCUGUUGGAGGAUCCCGAAGAGGCACCAUCUCCUAUUACACCAAAGGUUAAUAAGAGGCUUGGCAAGAUCAUUUGUGACACAAACAAGAAACCCAAGACCGCACAAGUGAUGCAGGAGCAGAUUACAAUGAUCGGGGACAUUUGUAAGGAAUCACAUUCGUCGUUUCAGUCGUUCUUUAAGCACGAUGACACCACCUCUGUUGCAUCUGUUAUGAAGGAAGCAAUUGCUUGUGGUGCAAUAGAAGGCAGCGAUGAGCACUUCAUUGCCUCUGAGCUUUUCAUCAAGAGAGAGCAAAGGGAGAUGUUUUUGAGCAUGAGUGUUCACACUCGUUUGGGUUGGCUAAAGAGGAAGUUCAAUGUCAAGUACGGGAACUAG